rnacentral:lncRNA from 1 species
UAAAAAUUUCUCAACGUCCGUGACGUCGAGUAGGUCGAUGUGGUAUAUUCAUAUACCCAAAUUGAGCAUCGUAUGAGAAGUUAUUUCGAAUUGUUGGUUAUGUGUUUAAAUUAACGUUUUUAUAGUUGUUUCACAUAUAGGUGACACCUAUCCCGAGGACGAGCGCAUCCAGGGACGUCACGGGGGUUACGACCCAUCGACUUACCAGUAAGUGGGCAGUUUUGUUUUCGUAUUACCUAUAUACUACUGUUUUUCCCAGAAAAUGUGUUUAUAUGAAAAUAUGAUUUAAAUUGCCAUGCAUGCAAUUGUUGAGAUAUUUGAAUUGAGAAUUGAUGCAUAUAUAUGUGAAAUGACGCGAUCGACGCACAGGUGGGUUUUUACCUUAUUCAGAUGAUUUAUUUAUGAGAAUUGCAUUGAAGCUCAUAACCUGCAGCCUAGGUGUUAGUGCUUAUAUGGUUAUUCACCACACCGCACGCUCGUCUUG